rnacentral:lncRNA from 1 species
GCAUGAUCAAAAUUGGUUUGUUUUGGCCCUCGGAAGGCAAAAACCACUACCCCAGAUUUAUUCAUCAUUUAACUCCUGCACAGGCUAUGCUUCAACAUACAUGCAAAAAAUAGUUAUGGAAAGAGUACUAAUUCAUAAGUAAUAAAUAGCUAGCUUUGGGAUGUCAGAAACAUUGAUUAUAAAGUCAGCGUGGGUCAGAUAUUUACAUACUAAACUUAAUGGCUGACAUCAGAACCUCUGUGCUUGGCCUUGAACUAAGAUCACACUGUGACAAAAUUUUUUCAAAAGGCAUGAGAAAUUUUUGAUCACUAUAAUGAUGAUAGCAGCUAUCAUUUGUUAAGCACUUACUGUGUUCUGGCAGUGGGUUCUAAGUGCUUCACUGGAAUUAUUUCAUUUAAUCCUAUGAGGCAGGUCACUUUAUAGAUGAGGCAAGCGAGGCCCAGAGAAGUUGAAGAACUUCCUCAGGGCCACACACCAAAUUUCUGGUUGAGCAGAAAUCUGAACCCAAGCAUUCUGAUUCCAGGUCACACAAAUUAUCUUCAUAUAUACAAAAAUGCACCCAUAAUAAUUUGUUUUUAUCAGUCAACAGAUAAAGUUUUUCCCAUUUACCUAAUAUACACAUAAUCUAUUAUUGUUCCAAAAACAUUAAGAAGGAAGAGUCCUCUCUUCAAAAAUUGUUUACUUGAUUUUGUAGUAAUGCGUAAUUCAAAGCGUGCGGACUUGAUUCCUCAUAUAUUUUACAUUUCUGCCUUUAAAGAUUUAAAACAUUUUAAAUAUCCCCUACUCUCCUCUCCCUAAAGAGACACCAGCAAUGAAAAAUACAAAGCCUUUUUGAAUGGAGCUGUAACACAGGGAGGGACUACGGGGAGACCAAUCAACCUCGAAAAGCAGUAACACCACAAAUGAGAACAAAUAAGUGCGAUGACAGUUAAAGAUGUAUUGCCUGUGUAUGACGGGCUCCAUGUUAUUAAAAGGACACCAUCUAGAUAUUUUUCAUUUCAUUCUAUCACCAACCACUUGCUGUUUGUAAUCACCAACUGAGAAGAGGGUUAAUUUGCGGUUCAUGAAAAGGCAAAAUGAGUAGAUGGAAGCCUGGAGGUGGAGCAGCCAUCUUGUGAUCACGAAGUUGACCAGCAUUUGCUAACAAAAUUAGCACAUGAAACAAAAAGCUGAAUGUUAGAAGUUUGUCAAGUUUCUUGAAAAAGUCGACUGGCAUUUAGCCUAGAAUCACAUUGAAUUUGAAGAUUAAUUUGAGGAUUUAUACUGCAAAUGGCGUUUACUUGCCUUUCUGUAUUGGCUGGAACUUCCAUUAUAAUGUGGAAUAUAGUGUGAGACAAGUUCUCGCUAUGCUGGCCAGGCUGGUCUUGAACUCCUGGCCUCGAGGGAUCCUCCCACCUUGGCCUUCCAAAGAGCUGGGAUAACAGGUCUCACUAUGUUACCCAGGCUGGAAAGCAGCGGCUAUUCACAGGUGCAAUCAUCGCGCACUGCAGCCUCUAAUUCCUGGGCUCAAGCUAUCCUCCCGCCUCAGCCUCCUGAGUAGCUGGGACUACAGGCAUGCAUCACCAUGCCUGGUUCUGUCUCAGAUUUAAGAAAAUAUUCUAUUACAGCAUAUCUUUGAGUAAUCCUUUCAGAAAAGAUGUGCAGGUGGUAAACUGAUUGAAUCCUUCGCUGAAAAAUGACUAUUUGGUAUCUUCAAAAUUUUAAAGGUCAUUUCCUUUACCUUCUGGCUUCCAGAACUGAUAAGAGUACUGAUGUGAAAUUUGAUUCCAUUCUCAUUCUUGUCCAUUUUUAGGUAAACUGCUUUUUUCUCUGCUUUGGAAGAUAAUAGGAUAUUCUUCUCCUUAUCAAAAAUUCACCAGGACGUGAUCUUUUUCAUAGUUUUUCAUAUUCACCCUGUUUGGCCCUCUUAAUCUGAAGGCUUGCGUGUUUCUUUUGUUGGGGCACAUGUUCAUUCAUUCACUCAUUACGGGCAGGGAUACACUCUGUCGCCUAGGCUGGAGUGUAGUGGUGCAAUCAUAGCUCACUGGAGCCUUGAACUCCUGGGUUCCAGUGAUCCUCCCACUUCAGUCUCCCAAGUGGCUAGGAUGACAAGUGUGUGCCACCAUACCUGGCUAACCCUUUUUGAUUUUUGGUAGAGACAAGGUCUUGCUAUGUUACCCAGGCUGGUCUUGAAACUCCUGGGCUCAAACAAUUCUCCCGCUUUGGCCUCCCAACGUGCUAGGGUUAUGGAUGUAAGCCACCACAUCCAGCAGAAAAUGUUCCUCUAUAAUUUAUUUUCUAAAUUAUUUCUUCCCUUCAUUGUCUUUUCUUUCCUGCCAGAGCUCCUAUGAGAUGAACUGAUCCUUCUAACUUUCCUUAUUUUCUGUCUCUGCCUUUUUGCUUUGUAUUCUAGUUGAUUUCCUUGACCCUUUCUUCCAGAACACUCGAUCAGUAUUCAGCUGUGUCCAUUCCAUUAUUCACCUACUGAGUUAGCAACUAUCAUUACUAUGGGUCUCCUCUCCCCUGGGUGGGCUGACUAAAGUUUUAUUUUUUAUAAGUGGACGAGAUACUAACUGGUUAUGUGGACAUGAAGUUGGAGGCAGGCAGGUAGGAAAUGGCCUUUCCUCCCCACCAGCAAACGUGACACUGGCUUUACCCUGGUGGUGAGGAUCUGAGAAUAUUUUGGAUACUCUCUUGGAUAAAACUAUAUUUCAUCUCAUCUCUGACCAUCCUUGCUUCCUUCACACAAACUCAAACCCUGCUCUGUUCUUGUAGGUCCCCACAUCCACACCAAAACGUCUUUCCCAGGCAAGUGGCUCAUUCUCUUUACAGUUUUAUUCUUAAGUCUCAAAUUAAAUGUGUAUGUUGCCUGCUGUCAGGGGUAAGAUUGGGGAACUAAGGGGCUGGAAGCAGUUAAUUCCCUGAUGACUGUCUUAAGACCCCUACUCAUGCUGUGCUUGAUGUUCUGCCAGAUUGGUUCUUACCAUUAUGGUAGUUUUCCCCCACGAGUGUUUUACCCUGUGAUUUUUAUUUUCUCUGUUAUUGUUUAUCUGCUCCUAUUUGUUUUCUGUCAAUAAUGCCUCAUAAUUUCUGGUCAGCUAAUGGCAUCUGUUCUUAUAUUUUCAGUGUUCAUUCACUAUUAAAGAAUGUAUUUUCUUUUUAAUGGAUCUUUGGACAAAAACAUGUGCUCAGUUCUCUAACUAGCACUAAGCUGUGUGACUUCCCACACUGGUUAAUGCAUGCAUGCCUGUGGGGGAUGAGGAUCUGUUUAUGUACUGCACUAACUUUUAGACAGAUAUAUUUAUGUAUAUUGCGCACAUAUUUGAUCUCAAUAAAUUUAAUCAAGAACUUAAUUUGAUGACCAUUUAAAAUCCAAGCAAAAAAGAGGCAAAAAUGCUUAUCAGAUAUACAUAUAACUACAUGGCUUAAUUUAACAGUUCUGUCUAUAUCUAUUUAUCCAUAGAUACAAUUAUAAUGAUAUAGAAUUAAUCCAGAAGCUAAAGUAGGAUCAUUUUACUCUAUUCUUUUUAUUCUAACUAAUAAAAGAGUAUCUGACAGGCUUUUGGUCCAUGUUCCCAGCAUUUCUGAAGGCUUCUUAUCAAAUAUGCUGUUAUUACCCAUAAUUUUAUGUAUCGAUUUGUAUAAUGUAUUUCAAGGAAAAAAUUCAAUAUCAGCCAUUCUUGUUUCUUUUUUUCUUUUUAUUGAACUACCAAGACUAAUACAGCACAUCACUAAGCAAAAAGUGCUAUUUACUAUGCAAAAGGCACAGUCAGUGAUUGGCAUCUAAGACCAAUUGAUCUACCCAUUACCACUAUCUCCCUACCCCCACAAGCAUUACUAUGAAGCUAUUGAUUUAAACACUGUCGAUCGGUUUCCAUUUUCUGAUUUUGGGCAGGCCAAUCAAGAAAGUGAGUAAUUGUGAUUACACUGCUUCAGGAUCAAUUACAUUUGAUGCAAGACAAAGUGCUCUUUUUGGAACACACACACAAAAUUUUUGAUCUAGCAUGCUGUUGUGCUUAACAAAAUCUAAAAUAAAUAAUUUGUAUCUUUAUAAUAACAAAACAUACUAAUGUAAAUGCUUUUAAUAGUCAAGAACAUUUUCUAUGUGAAAUACAUGAAUUAUUUUCCUAAUGUUAGUUUGAAAGAAAUUUAGAAAAAAUAUUAUUCACAUACACUCCUUGGCAUAAGAUAAAAAUCAAAUACUACCUGCAUAUAUAUCCAUCCUUAAAGAGACUUAGUUAAUUAUGAAAGACAAAAUGCAAAUCCUGUUCAAGAGACUAUAAAGGAAGUCUUUGUAAAUAAAAUUGGGGAAAAAAAUCCAAUUACAUAGGAAUCAAAAGGUUCUUUAUACAAAUUGAUAAGAAAAAGGAAUCUUUUUUAGUUCUUAAUUUUGGUCUAACUUGGUACGUGAGCUUUGUCAUUGGGUUCACAUUGUCCAAAUCAUUAAAAUGAAUAUACCUCUGGUGUCAGAGGCAAAUCUAUUUAGAGUGAUGUUACUCAUAGCCUGUUGUUCAGUAAUAUUGAUCUGUGUUGUUUGUCUAAUAGAAAAAUAAUAAACAAUUACUAGGCAAUGUUGGGAAAAGUAAUCAGUUUUUAUAUAUCACUAAUACAGCAGACCUCCCAAAACAUAAAGGUGAUGAUCUGCAUAAAAUCAAUGUGUUAUGCUACAUUGCUUAUAUUUAUCAUUGCAGGUUCUCGGCAAUAAAAGGUAUAACAUUAGGCCAGAAUUACUGGUAAACUGAAAAGGUAUAUGAAAAUGAAAAGUUCACUAUGUUUAAUCUAUACAUUUAUUUUAAAAUGUCUAUUUCUAAAACUUCAAGACUUUUAAAUCAUAACAAAUUCUGUUCUAAGCUAGCUAAAAUGUAGGUAAAAUGUCUCAAUUCUUUUUAGAAUAAAAACAAAGAAACUUCAACUCAAAAUAGCCAAUUGGGCCUUAUAUCAGAAAAAGAAAAGAGUUCAAAGAUAAUUCUCAAUGAUGCAUGAAUACGGCUUUGUUCUAAUUUGCUAAUAGCCUCUGAAUUUCACAAGAAAUGUAUAAAGCAUUAUAGAAAAACAUUAACAACAAAAUCCAAUCCUAAAAAAGCUCUUCUGAACAGCAUUCAGCUAUGAAACCUUUGCCAACUGCAUAAAUGUUCUCUUUUGACUUUUAUCAAAGCAGUUUGUAAAUGGAUGUAAAAAGGAAAAAAAAAAUGUGUGAGUUUUAGGUACUGAUGGCAUCAAUAAUAUUCCACUUAAGAAUCUCAAGAUAACAUGUAUGUAUAUCUCAAAAGAUAUCUUCUCUGAGCUAUUUAAUAAUAUUAUUAAUGCUUUUAAUUUCUCCUGGAUUUUCCUCAUGAAUUUUCUCAUAAAUUUUCUAAAACUGGAGUGAUAAGUUAAAAAUUACUUAGUAGUAGCUUCUUUCUUUAACCAACAAACCAUGGAUUUCAAUCACAUAUGGCAGGUUGUAAUGGCUAGGUGUGUAACGAAUGCUAAAAAUACAUAUACUACACACAAUUUGUACAACUAUUCCAAGGCAGUCUAAACAUUAUCAAAGCAAAACAUAUUUGUUUAAAUGUUUUGUCUUUCACACACACACAAAAGCUGUUGAAAGCUUAGUUUUUGAUCUGCUAUCCUUUACAGGUUAUAUAAAAAAUAGAAGAACAAUUGAACUUACCAC